rnacentral:misc_RNA from 1 species
CCUCCCCCCUCUCACUUCUUUGCUCAGUUGAAUUGAAUUCAACCUUUUCUUUCUUUCUAGCUAUACCAGAGUCGCUGUGCCAAAACUGCCAACUAAUUCAUAACUACCGAAAUUUCCUCUUUUCUCCUUUAGAGAUUAAUCCUUCUUUUCGGAUCAUCAUCAUCGUCAAUCCCGGAACAAAGAACAUCAUUGCCAGCCAUUUCUUAUUCCAUUGCCUGAUUUGACUCUUUCUUCCCGUGAGUUCUCCCGUUUCCUUCUAAAAUUCCAAGAGGAGAGAUUCGAAAUCCCUCUUUUGAAUCCCGCUUGAAUGUGCAUUUAAUGGUACUUCCAUGAAUUAAAGCUUUAAAGGUCGAAAAUCCAUUUACUCAUAACAUGACACUGUCAUCAAAUGUAACUGGCUCAGGAACAUCCUCAAGCAUGACCCCCAAAGAAUUGUCAGACUAUGAUGAUAUCGCUACUGCCCUUAUAGUAGACCCAUACUUGGGGUUUCAAACACAUAAAAUGAGCCAGCGGUUUCGACCUCCAAAGGAAUCUGAUACUAAAUCUCUUAGGAAAUCUGUUUUAGACUUUAUUCAAAAUCAAAAUUUUGAAACAACAUACAAAGAACUCAUGUUAGUUGAUUGGACUAAAACAUUGAACAAGAGGUCGAAGGUAUCCCAAGCCUCCUUAAAAGAACAUAUAUUUCGAUACUUGCGAAUGUUCGAUCUCAAAUCUGGGUUCAUCAUUUCACCUUGCCAUCGAUAUUCCUUAGAAGGGCAAAUGGGUGCCAAGAUAAGUUCUACAAAAUCUUGGGCUAAGGGAGAUCAAAUAACUUAUUUAAUCGGCUGCAUUGCCGAAUUGACAGAAGAAGAAGAAAAUGUUCUUUUAGUUCCUGGAAAAAAUGAUUUUUCCGUUAUGUAUUCCUGCAGAAAAAAUUGUGCUCAACUUUGGUUGGGAUCCGCAGCUUAUAUUAAUCACGACUGUCGGCCCAAUUGCAAGUUUGUGGCAACUGGUAGAGAUAGAGCAUGUGUCAAAGUGCUUCGAGACAUAGCCCCUGGGGACGAAAUUAUGUGUAUGUAUGGUGAAGAUUUUUUUGGCGACAAUAACUGCUACUGUGAAUGCGAAACUUGCGAAAGGCGAGGAACUGGUGCAUUUGCAAAAUUAAAAUCCGAAUCUCCAGAAAAAGAUAAAGGCUACCGACUCAGAGAAACUCAGCUUCGACUCAAUCGGACAAAGCUAAAGAAUGAAACAACAAAGCCCGUUACAACAACAAUAAAUAAAAUAACAACUCCUCUUCCUCCCCCUCCUCCACCUCCCCUGAGACCAACGCGUCAACAACAACCUGCUAUGACCUACCGGGAUCUAAGGUUAAGAGGGUUUACAGGAACCCGGUAUGAUGCAGAUAUUCUUAUACGUCAAGGUUAUACUUUUGAAGAUCUAAAAAAUCUAACUGCAUCCUCUUCCAGUGGGAACUCUGUAACUACGACGCGCUCAUCCACUGCCAAAUCUAGACAUAAUUUGAAGAGUAACGACGGAUCCAAUUACAAUGUAACUUCUAGGUCACUUAGAGAUACUCCUGGACGAUUGAGAGCACGCUGUGAAAGAGGAAGAGCUGCUUCAGAUAGUUCAGGAAUUUCUGAUGACUCAAGUUCAUCUAGUUCUGGAAGUGAUUCCGGUAUAGACGUUGAUAACGAUUCCACUUCAAGAAGGCCCGUCAAUCCAGUAACUAACGGUAUUAGAAAAACUUUAGAGAAAAUGAAUUUGAACCGAGAAGGUACUCCACCGCCCCCUCCUCCUCCUCUUAAAGACAGUAGUGACGAUUCAACAGUAUUCUGGACUACUCCUACUAAACGGACCACUACGAACAACGCGACUCCAAGAGGUUCUCCUGGUGUAAAAUUGACUUUAAGAAUGAAAAGGUCACCUGUUCUUGAUGAGGUUUUAGAGAAUGGAAAUUCCCUUCAUUCAGCAUCAAGUGCUUCUCCAGUAAAAUUUCGGAGACUGGAGUACGAAGUGCUUCGUAUGGAAGGAGUAGACGAAGGAGAUACGAUGGAGAGUAACGAUGGUGACCGUAACAGCAGAGGUCGUAGACGCCAUCAUAGACAUAGGAAAGAUAGAAAGCGAGUAGACAAAUCUGAGGUGUAUGAUCAUCAGAGGCCCAUGAAAAGACUCAAAUUGAUAGUCGGAAAUGAAACUGUUUCCACUAUCAAUUUGAUAAAUUAAAGGUCUAAUUUCAAUCAAGCAAGCAAGCAAACAUACAUUUUUUUACAUCCUUACUACUACAACAACUACAUUCACUCUUUCCUAUUUUUUACAGCAUUUCCCCCAUCAAGUCGCCCCCCCUCACAAAUUUUAUAUAUAUAUAUAUAUGUGAGGAUUUUCAUAAUAGUAAAGUCAACUUUACAAAGAGGCUGAAAUGGUUAUAGUUUUGUUUGUCAUUACACAUUGAGAGAUUGAUUCAUCCUCAAUUUUCCCAGUUAUAAUGAUGAAAAUGAUAAAUAAUUAAUUAGUAACUAUCAUGAUGGGUAGUCUUGCCAAAAUAAUCUUUAGUUUUACAUCUUUUUUUUUUUUUUGGUUAUAACUUGUGAAAUGACACACAUAUAAUAUAAACCUACAUAAUACUGAUCGGAUAUCACCCCGAUCAUCCAUCCUUCACCCCCGUUCUUCCCCUUUUUUUAUAAUUAUUUAUAUGGUGGGAGUUUAUUUAUUUAUUCUUACUCUUUUUUUUUUAAAUGAACGAAUAUUCUAGAAUGUGUUGAUACUUAUAAUUAGAUGGUUCAAAAAAUAAUUUAAAAAAAAGACGUAAAACAAUAAUUAACAUAUUUCUAAAGAAAA